AGCAGUAGCCACGGUAAAACGGAGGGUGCAAGCGUUAUCCGGAUUUAUUGGGUUUAAAGGGUCCGUAGGCGGACUUAUAAGUCAGUGGUGAAAGCCUGUCGCUUAACGAUAGAACUGCCAUUGAUACUGUAAGUCUUGAGUAUAUUUGAGGUAGCUGGAAUAAGUAGUGUAGCGGUGAAAUGCAUAGAUAUUACUUAGAACACCAAUUGCGAAGGCAGGUUACCAAGAUAUAACUGACGCUGAGGGACGAAAGCGUGGGUAGCGAACAGGAUUAGAUACCCGCGUAGUCCCUGUCUCUUAUAC
rnacentral:rRNA from 1 species